GAACGGGUGAGUAAUACGUGAGUAACCUGCCCUUGACUCUGGGAUAAGCCUGGGAAACUGGGUCUAAUACUGGAUACUACCUCUUGCCGCAUGGUGGGUGGUGGAAAGGGUUUUACUGGUUUUGGAUGGGCUCACGGCCUAUCAGCUUGUUGGUGGGGUAAUGGCUCACCAAGGCGACGACGGGUAGCCGGCCUGAGAGGGUGACCGGCCACACUGGGACUGAGACACGGCCCAGACUCCUACGGGAGGCAGCAGUGGGGAAUAUUGCACAAUGGGCGGAAGCCUGAUGCAGCGACGCCGCGUGAGGGAUGACGGCCUUCGGGUUGUAAACCUCUUUCAGUAGGGAAGAAGCGAGAGUGACGGUACCUGCAGAAGAAGCGCCGGCUAACUACGUGCCAGCAGCCGCGGUAAUACGUAGGGCGCAAGCGUUGUCCGGAAUUAUUGGGCGUAAAGAGCUCGUAGGCGGUUUGUCGCGUCUGCUGUGAAAGCCCGGGGCUCAACCCCGGGUCUGCAGUGGGUACGGGCAGACUAGAGU
rnacentral:rRNA from 1 species